ensembl:lncRNA
GCGGGAGUCGGGGCCGCCGCAGCGGGAGACGGAGGACGCCGCAGCGGGAGACGGAGGACGCCGCAGCGGGAGACGGAGGCCGCCGCAGCGGGAGACGGAGACGCCACACAGGUGUAGCAGCACGCAGCACAAUCUGGACAUGGAGAACAUCCUUCAGGGAAUAUAUAUAUAUAUUGUGGCAACUCGGCACGGUGAGCGAACCACCUCCUCCCAAACAGGUCACCAUUUCGUGGGGAAAAGCCAAAAAAGGCAUGUUUAAUCCAGAACAUGGCAAAGUCUCUCAAAACACAAAUAACGUAAAACCUGGGAGGAAUCUCCGCGCAGGAGCUCCAGGACUGGGAGAGACCCGAAUGAGUGGAGAAGCGGGCUAUUUAAGCCCUGCUUCUCCACCUGUUCCUCAGGUGCUCUGAAUCUCCUUAAUUGGCCUGGGCCGGGUUGCCACAAUAUAUACACACACGCCUUGCUUUACACAAGGUAAAUCGUGAGACAACAGAGUUUACUGAAUUAGCAUCAGUGGAUUAAGGAACAAAAUAUGAGAACAGAGAAUCUGCAACAGCAGAUAUAAAACAAAACGUUACAAUCUGCAACAGCAGGCAUGAAACAAAACAUCAUCUGCAACAGCAGAUCUGGAGAAAGAGAGAGUAUUUUGGAACAGCAACAAGAAACAAUAAUAAUAAAAACACACAGACUGAACAUGCACCUGAAUCUGUGAAGGUCUGAAACCAUGCUCUAGGCUAUCCAUUAGGCUACAUAUUACGAGGUGGGCCUGUUGUUGGAAUCCAAAAAUGUAAAUCUAAUUAACGUGGUCAGAAAGGUAGGCCUUAGUAACAGUCCCAUUGAUUCACAAAAGACUAUGAAAAGCGAAAUAGAGUAGACUCAGGCCUGACUUCCUAGCACUGUAACGUUCGGGUUACGUGGUAACCCUGGUUCUCUGAGUGAAGAGACCAUCUCUCCACUCUGUUACAUAUUCCAUGUGUACAGGGUAUCACCCCCAUGUCUGCUAAGGGCCGUGGAUAGGCUUUAAGACACACCGGCAUGCCCGGUCACGCCUACACCACUAUAAAACACCUGUGUAGACGUGCAAUCAGGGAUGGUUUGAUCGGAACUUGUCUCCGGGAGGCCUCUGGAUUGGAGAGAUGGGGCCUCAUGUACUAAGGUUGCGUACGCACAAAAACGUGGAGUACGUCCUUUUCCACGCUCACAUUCAGAUGUACAAAACGUGAAAUGACCGUAAAAAUGUGCGGUCCCCACGCCAGCUCC